AGCGAACGCUGGCGGCAGGCCUAACACAUGCAAGUCGAACGAACCCUUCGGGGUUAGUGGCGGACGGGUGAGUAACACGUGGGAGCGUGCCUUUAGGUUCGGAAUAACUCAGGGAAACUUGUGCUAAUACCGAAUGUGCCCUUCGGGGGAAAGACUUAUCGCCUUUAGAGCGGCCCGCGUCUGAUUAGCUAGUUGGUGAGGUAAUGGCUCACCAAGGCUACGAUCAGUAGCUGGUCUGAGAGGAUUACCAGCCACAUUGGGACUGAGACACGGCCCAAACUCCUACGGGAGGCAGCAGUGGGGAAUCCUGCGCAAUGGGCGAAAGCCUGACGCAGCCAUGCCGCGUGGAUGAUGAAGGUCUUAGGAUUGUAAAAUCCUUUCACCGGUGAAGAUAAUGACUGUAGCCGGAGAAGAAGCCCCGGCUAACUUCGUGCCAGCCGCCGCCGUAAAAC
rnacentral:rRNA from 1 species